GACGAACCGUGCGAACGUUGUUCGGAAUCACUGGGCUUAAAGGGCGCGUAGGCGGCCAGCGCAAGUCAGUUGUGAAAUCUCCGGGCUUAACUCGGAACGGUCAACUGAUACUGCGCGGCUAGAGUGCAGAAGGGGCAACUGGAAUUCUCGGUGUAGCGGUGAAAUGCGUAGAUAUCGAGAGGAACACCUGCGGCGAAGGCGGGUUGCUGGGCUGACACUGACGCUGAUGCGCGAAAGCCAGGGGAGCGAACGGG
rnacentral:rRNA from 1 species